rnacentral:rRNA from 1 species
UCGCACCUACCGAUUGAAUGGUCCGGUGAAGCCUCGGGAAUGUGACCAGUUCGCUUUAUUGUGAGUUGGUUGCGUGAACUUGUCUAAACCUUAUCAUUUAGAGGAAGGUG